UACGAAGGGGACUAGCGUUGUUCGGAAUCACUGGGCGUAAAGCGCACGUAGGCGGAUUCGUAAGUUAGGGGUGAAAUCCCGGGGCUCAACCUCGGAACUGCCUUUGAUACUGCGGGUCUUGAGUCCGAUAGAGGUGGGUGGAAUUCCUAGUGUAGAGGUGAAAUUCGUAGAUAUUAGGAAGAACACCGGUGGCGAAGGCGGCCCACUGGAUCGGUACUGACGCUGAGGUGCGAAAGCGUGGGGAGCAAACAG
rnacentral:rRNA from 1 species